rnacentral:misc_RNA from 1 species
GAUGAAGAACGCAGCAAAAUGCGAUAAGUAACGUGAAUUGCAGAAUUCAGUGAAUCAUCGAAUCUUUGAACGCACAUUGCGCCCGCUGGUAUUCCGGCGGGCAUGCCUGUUCGAGCGUCAUUUCAACCCUCAAGCCCCCGGGUUUGGUGUUGGGGAUCGGCUCUGCCCUUCUGGGCGGUGCCGCCCCCGAAAUACAUUGGCGGUCUCGCUGCAGCCUCCAUUGCGUAGUAGCUAACACCUCGCAACUGGAACGCGGCGCGGCCAUGCCGUAAAACCCCAACUUCUGAAUGUUGACCUCGGAUCAGGUAGGAAUACCCGCUGAACUUAAGCAUAUCAAUAAGCGGAGGA